rnacentral:lncRNA from 1 species
AUGGAAUUGGGGUCACUGGGACAGGACUGGGAUCACUGGGACGGAAUUGGGAUCACUUUGGGAUCACUUUGGGAUCACUGGGAUCAAUUUGGGAUCACUGGGAUCAGUUUGGGGUCACUGGGAUCAGUUUGGGGUCACUGGGAUAGACUGGGAUCAAUUUGGGAUCACUGGGAUCAAUUUGGGGUCACUGGGACAGGACUGGGAUCAGUUUGGGGUCACUGGGAUCAGUUUGGGGUCACUGGGAUCAGUUUGGGAUCACUGGGAUCAGUUUGGGAUCACUGGGACAGGACUGGGAUCAGUUUGGGGUCACUGGGAUCAGUUUGGGGACACUGGGAUCAGUUUGGGGUCACUGGGACAGGACUGGGAUCACUGGGACGGAAUUUGGAUCACUUUGGGAUCACUUUGGGAUCACUGGGAUCAAUUUGGGGUCACUGGGAUCAGUUUGGGGUCACUGGGACGGGACUGGGCCGGAAUUUGGGGCCGGAAUUUGGGGUCAGAAUUUGGGGCCGGAAUUUGGAGCAGGAAUUUGGGACUGAGUCAGGAAUUUGGGGCCGGAAUUUGGGGCUGGAAUUUGGGGCCAGAAUUUGGGAUGGGGUCGGAAUUUGGGGUGAGAAUUUGGGAUUGGGGCAGGAAUUUGAGGUCAGAAUUUGGGAUUGGGGCAGGAAUUUGGGGCAGGAAUUUGGGGCCAGAAUUUGGGAUUUGGGGCCGGAAUUUGGGGUCAGAAUUUGGGAUGGGGUCAGAAUUUGGGAUCAGAAUUUGGGAUGGGGUCGGAAUUUGGGGCUGGAAUUUGGGGCCGGAAUUUGGGAUUGGGGCAGGAAUUUGGGGCCAGGAAUUUGGGAUUGGGGAUCCCUGGAAUUCCGAGGGGGAUCAGAAAAUUUGGGGGGGGGAAAUUUUGGGAGGAUUUGGGAUUUUUUUUUUUUUAUGGAAAAAUUUUUGGGUUUUUUUUUUUUCCUGGGAAUUUUUGGGAAUUUUUGGGAGGGUGGGGGGCACCUCAAGGUGAAAGGAGGGGGGCCCCAAAAUUCCCCAAAAAAUUCCCGGUGUCCGUCCCGGGCUUCUCUUUUUUUUUCCGUCCUUUUCAAUCUCUGGGAUUCCCAAAUUUCAGCCCAAAAUACCCCAAAAAAAUCCCAAUUUUCACUCAAGAAAAAUCCCAAUUUUUCCUUUAAAAAAAUCCCAAUUUUCACUCAAGAAAAAUCCCAAUUUUUCCACCUAAAAAGCCCCAAAAAAUCCCAAUUUUCCCUCAAAAAAUACCAAAAAAAAUCCCAAUUUUCCCACCUAAAACCCCCCCCCAAAAAAUCCCAAUUUUCCCCUUAA